AGGCAAUGGUUAACAGAAGAAUCUCAGCUGUCUUCAUUUUAUAGUCAAAGAGUCUUGUGGAAACUAAUUGACCUGCAGGUGCAUAUCCUACAAGUGCUUUGGGGCUCCUUGGGCUACAGACAAGCAGACUUGGAGAUAAAGCGUGGGUCCUUUAAGAAUCAAGGAGGAGCUCCAGGCCACUUUGGUGAUAUGUUGUUAUAAACCCGAGGGGGCUUUCUUUUCAAUAAUGAAAUGAAAGUAAGGAGAUUGAUCAGUUCUGCACUGCUCCAUUCUCGGGUAGAGUUUUCUUACACUUCAGAACAGAAGAGUUCUCUCUUGAAGUUUGAAGAAAACAAGGCUCUUCUGGCAGAUGUACCUGCAACUUGGAAAGAUAACAAAUGAACCAAUUCCUUGCUCCAGAGUUGACACUGAUAGUGCUUGCUGAAUUUGCUCUCAGAAAAGAAUCCUGGGCAACAAUACAUCUGGCACUCCAUUCGAGGAAUUUGUCAUGUCGUUGACAUGUUCAGCCUCCAUUGUCCACACCAUCAUGACAGCAGGUCCUUUAUAUUUCAAAGAAAUUGCAGUCUGAAUUAAUAUAAUUAGAAUGUAACUGCUAUUCACUGCACAAACUCCUCAUUUCUAGGAGUACAGAUCCGAUAGCACAUCUGUGCUCAGAAUCUUUCCAGUGAUGGCUGCAGGGGAGCAAGCAGAUAAUAAAAUGACAGAAUAUACCCUCUUUCAUUAGCCUCUUUAAGUACUAACUAACGGAAGUAUAGGAGAAGAAGAAAACUGUCCUGGGACUUCCCUGGUGGCACAGUGCUUAAGAAUCCGCCUGCCAAUGCAGGGGACACGAGUUUGAUCCCUGCUCCGGGAAGACCCCACAUGCCGCGGAGCAACUAAGCCCAUGUGCCACAACUACGGAGCCCACGCACCACAAAUACUGAAGCCCGCAUGCUCUAGGGCCCAUGCUCCACAACAAGAGAAGCCACCGUAAUGAGAAGCCUGCGCACCGCAACUAAGAGUAGCCCCUCCUCACCGCAACUAGAGAAAGCCUGUGCACAGCAACAAAGACCCAACACAGCCCCAAAAUAAUUAAUUAAAAAAAAAACAAAGAAAACUGUUCUGUCUUUGGCAUGUCUAAAUAGAAAUACUUUUCAAGUUUACCAGUCUGUAUAGCACUUUUAUAAAAUAGGUAGUAUAGAGUGUCUGUCUGAAGUAAGAGAAAAAAACGAAAUAGGAAAGACAGUUACAUGAAGUAGAGUGGAUAAUUUAUGGACAGAAUUACAGAAUUAAAUAGUGAUUGGAUAAUUUCAUUCACUCUUUACUACUUCACUUUGAACCGGCAAUGCCACUAACCAAGCAAUUACUACCAAGUAAACAACAACUUGAGUGCUAGAUUCUUGAAUUUCAUUCUUUGUCAUUGUUAUGUUUCUACAAAUGCUUGACUAUCAAUAUGGUAGAAACUGACGUCAGCAUCUUUUUUGGGGGGGAUAAGAUUGAUUUACAUUCUCUCAAAUAAGUUAACUUUCUCACCUCCAAGGACUCAUUUGAGGGGAGCAAUGACUUUGAUGUAUUAAUGUGUAGACUGGUGCUCAUGGCCUCUCCUCUGAAGAGUAUAAAGUUUAUCCUUGUGUAUGUUAGGGACUGAAUGUUUGUGUUCCUCCAAAAUUUAUAUGUUGAAGUCCUAACCCCCAAUGUUCUGAUAUUUGGAGGUGAAGCCUUUGGGAGGUAAGUAGGUUUAGAAGCAGUCUUGAGGUUGGGGCCCCCAUGAUAGGAUUACUGACCUUAUAAGAAGAGGAAGAGAUACUAGAGUGCUCUUCCCCCUCCAUGUCUCUCUGUCUCUGUCUCUCUCCCUCUCUGCCAUGUAUGGACACAGCAAGAAGCUGGCUAUCUGCAAGCCAGGAAGAGAGACCGGGAACCAAAUGGGCUGGUACCUUGAUCUUGAACUGCCCAGCCUCCAGAACUGUGAGAAAUGAAUGACUGUUUCUUAAGCCACCCACACUGCACUAUUUUGUUACUGUAGACCCAGCUGACUGACAGUGCAUAGGAGUCAUUUUUUAAUGAGCAUUAAGAAGGGAUAAUGGUUUUCAUUUUCUUGUUUUUCUUAGAGGUAUCUCUUGAUCUUCACCUGAAAUCCUGUAUCAUAAAUUGCAGUACUAGAAAUACAGAGAAUGGGUAAGGUAGUACAAAAAUAGGGCCAAGGCUUAUGAGAGAAGCUUUCAACAGAGGAGUACCAGAGCCCCUUUUAAUUUUAAACCAAAUACAUAUUAUAAACCAAAAACGUUAUGUUAAAGAGCUGUGUAACCUGGUAGACGGGUCUGCAGGGAAGACUUGUUAAGAUGCUGAUGUCUGGACCCCUUCAGAUCCACGGAAUCAAAAUUUUCAGCUGUGGGGCUGAAAUCGCUCAAGUUGAAAACCACUCCAAGUGCUUCUAAUGCACCCCAAACCUGGCACCCACGGGCCCAUGUUGUCUUUCACCGAUACAAAUACUCAAGUUUACUAACUGGGUCGAUCUUCCUAUAGAUGAUAUGUGCGGUUUAAAAAAUGGAUACAUUUAAUUUCUAUAAAUGGAAAUCUAUUUAGGAUGUUUGGGGCUGGUCGUUUUUAGAGGGGCUUCUCAGAACACCUGUCUGUGUACACUCCCCUUCCCCUUUGCCCUAGUUACCCUUGUUUAUAUUCUCAGUCUGUGUGUUCUGUCUGGGUUAGGAAAAUAAAAUGGCAUCUCAGAGUUUUACUUUGCAAAGAAUGCAAUAAGGAUUUAUAUUUUAAUGUGAAAAAUCCUUUAAUAGAGUAAAUAAAUGUCCCUCCCUCCAAUGCAUUUGUCUUAUGACUCUGGAUGUUUAAGAAUAGGAUUGUGUGUUAUAAACACACAUUUAGACGUCCAAAUAUAUGCACAGAUGGAAAAUAUCAAGCUUGCAGGAAAGGCCCCUCCUCCGAACACAGGGGUUCAGUGGAACUCACCUCUCUUUUCGCUAUGGAAUAUGAAUGUCGGCUUGAAUGCAGGGCGUUUAGGAAAUUCUUGUCCCUAGCCUCCUGACUUCCACCAGCUGCUGGCUCUGACAUUGUCUUUUUGAUCUCAAGGGGAGUAGGUAGGAAGUGGAUUGGGGGCAGGGAGUUCCUAUUCCUUGUUUGACCAAUGGAUUGCAGGAUAGACUUGUCAUGCGGAAAAAAGCUUGAUUUGUCCAAGGGAGGUGAUAGUGACCCCCCAGGACCCAGCCUGCCCCAUCACAUCCCAGAGGACUUUAUUCUGAGGUUUACAAGAAUAAACUGAUUGGUGAUUAGUUAUUAAACUAAGUGUAAUGCAUAUAUAACAAUUAUUUUCCAAAAGAGAAUUUUUUUUUUUAAUUGUAAAAGAAGUACACAGCCAUGGAAGACUUUGGGGAAAAACAGAGGAAAAUGAAAAAAGUAAAAAGGGGAAAAGUUUAGGCUAAGGUGUGAUUUUAGAAAUAGAGAUGUGGAUUAGAAUCCACUCUUACUGAUUGUAUACCCUUCUUAAAUUAAUACUAUUAUUAUCAAGAAAUAGAUUUAAGUUAUGUCUGUUUUCAUAAUUUAUUAACUGAAAUUCCCUAAUUCUUGCCUUAAGCCUACAAGCAUUCUUCCUAGUAGGUAAGAAUUAUUUAAAAAAAGUAUCCUCAGAAACAAUUAACGUUCACAAGAAAGUAAGAAGUCUUUGUGGCAAUGUUUUGUUUUAUUAUCGUAUUUUUCUCUUUCCUGAAAAACCAAUGAAGAAUGGCAGUUUUAUAUGUAAAACAGUAGUUAUCCUUUAUAAGGAUGACAUUUUCCUAAAAGCCUAGAAGUAUUUCACAUUUACAGAAAAACACUCUGUUCCCAAGUUGGAUCUGAUUAAAAUUCAAAUCUAUAUUAACAUCUCAUUAUGUUUUGAAAAAAGUGAUCUCUAUGCUUAAUGGAAAAUGCUUGGUGUCUGCCAGCUCUGUUUUUGUGGGUUCCUUAACAAGGCUGUCUGGGGACCCAGGAGGGCUGGGUCACAGCUACAUCCUUGUUAAAACAGUCAGCCAGCGUGAAUGCAGGCCCUUAGUUUUUCCUUCCUUUCUGCUCUCCCAUCCCUACAUUGUUUCAGCUGCCAACCCCUAAUUUUUCUCUGAAGCAAGGGAAAGGGAAGGGCAAAAAUGACUUUGAAAGAAUAACAUUUAUUUCUAUGGACUUAAAUAGAACACUCAACACAAAACAUCCUGUGUUUUCUUUUAAUUGAUGACACUCUGACUGUAGUAAUGGGUGAACUAAAACCUAGGGCUUGCCGUUGGCAUAGACGUUGUUUUUGUGGCAUUCUACCAGAUCAAGGAAUGUUGCUUGCUACUUAAAAUUACAACCUGGCCCCUGCCCACAGGUACUCCUUGUCUCCUUCUCCCACUGUGCCUUUUCUUCUCUCCAUUGUACUUAUCACCUUCUAACAUGUGUUUAUUAUGUGUUUUGUUUAUUCUCUGACUCCUCUGGCCAUAAUGGAAACCCAUGAUAGCAAGGAUCUGUGUAUUUUGCCAUUGUUGGAUUCUUUGUUCUAAAAACAGUGCCUGGCACAAAGUAGGCACUCAAUAAAUAUUUGCAGUAUAAGUGAAUGUACUCAUUUCUUCCUCGGUGUCCUUUCCCAUACAAUUAUGCGGAAAAUAACUGGUAAAAAUAGGAUAUAAAAAUCCUAUAAAUAUAAUAUGUUUAUACCUGGUAGGUGUAUUUGAAAGUAUACCUCUGUUUGGAGUUUAUGUAUCUUAGUUGGUAAAGAAAAGAUAAAAGAGAUGGAUAAAAGAGAAACAUCUCCUUGUCACUCUCUAUCUUCUUAUUUCGCUUUAUUUUUCUUCCAAGCGUGACUCCCUGACACUCCAACAUGAUAUAUAUUUCUCUGCUUAUUGCCUACCACCUCUCACUAGAAUGUAAGCAUUUGAAGGGAAGGAACUUUGUGUAUUUCAUUCACUGCUAUGGCCCCAUUGCUUAGAACAGUGUCUGGCACAGAGUAAGCCCUCAACACUUAUUUGGUGAGUAAGUGAGUGUGUGGAUGAGUGAUGGAGACCAUCCAGGCCUGGCCCAGGUGCUGUAGGGACUCUACAGAGUGAUUGAACACCAAGACCUUGGUACUUCUGAGGUGGAUGGUGGGUAGAGAGAUCAGAAAGGGAAAAAGACGACCAAGGUGACCCUGACAUUUAAAAUUUUCCAUUCAUAGUGAAAAAGACAUCCCACCCAUUAUGUAUAUGUGGUAUAGUAUGAGCCUAGGGACUGUGGUUUGGAUCCUGGACCAUCCAUCUAUUUUCAGAUAAGCCGAAAUAAUUUCUUCAUUUCUUGCUGUCACAUUUUCAUUGUUUGUAAAAUUAAAGCAAUGUUACCUAAUCCAUGGCUAUAGUGGGAGGAUAGAAAGGGCCUGACGCAUAAGAGUUGGCUAGUAAAUGUUUGCUAUCAUUGUCGUCAUCAUCAUCCUGGGGGUUGGCAGACUAUAGCAUGUGGGCCAAACCCAGCCUGUGACCGGCUUUUGUAAAUACAAUUUUCUUGGAAUAUAGCCAUGCCCAUUCAUUUUCUUAUUGUCUGUGGCUGCCUUCUCACUGUAACAGCAGAACUGAGGAGUUACAAGAGACUGUAUGGUCUGCAAAGCCUAAAUUUUUACUCUCUGGCCCUUUACAGAAAAAGUUUGUGAACCUGAUCUAAAAGAUGGUAGAUCAGCAAUAUAACUAAGCCCACAGUCCAGCAAAAUGUGGUCCACGGACCAGCGUGAUUCACAAACUAUUUGUUACUGAUCCGGGACAUACUAAGUACGGAAACUAAGAGUAAAGUAUUUAGAAACGUCUAUAACAAUUUGAUGUGCUGUUGACAUCCAAGUGUAUGAUUUUGGUUUAUACAAAAGUCUUGGUUUAUGACAGAGGAAAUUAAAAAAAAAAUUCCUUGGCCCUUCCCAUUGGAAUGGAAUCUGGUGUUUUGUAACAGGAUUUUGUUGUAUUGCUAACGUAGUGAGAUAUAUUCAUGUGGUUUCAGAUGAGAAUAUCUAGGGUCCCAUCAGGUGGGAGUGACGAAGGGGUCCUGAGAUUGCAACUGACCUGGAAACGUUGAUGAGUGAGCCCAUUAACAACGUCACGCAAAUGGAUUUCACAUGUGGAUGGAUGGGCAGCCACAGUUCACUUAUCAGCUAAUACAGUGGUACUGUGUUGCUUCAUAUCUGAGAGAAGGCGACCACCUCAGGAUAUUAUGUGUGUCUCAUACAUGUAUAUAAAUGAACUCCUUUUGAGGUAAACGGAUUUUAAGUUGAUAAUUCAUCUUCUGUGAACAGUAAGCCAACAACUUUCCUGGAAAUCUAGCAAAACAACAGUUCUAUGACCAGCCUUAUGCUUUGUUGCAUGUGCGCUUAAAAAAAGCAGACUGACUUUUUCCUUUUCUGUUUUAGAAGUGGUUCCAAACGGUAAAGUCUGCCAGAAAAAACAGACCAACUCUCAGGAACAACAAUGCCCAUUAUGUGUGGGGUGGAAGCUGCCAGACUUUGAUUUCUGGCCAGACAUUAACCCCUUUGGUGUCUUAGGGGAGAAAUGACAAGUCUGAAUCCAGACGCUUCCAGGAUUUUAACAGUCACUUAUAGUGUGAGACCAGGCGAUUUAUAAUAACGUGUGCAAAAAAAAGGGCUAUUGUGAGAAGGAAGUACAAGUUCAAGGCCACAUCUCCUUGUUUCCUGAAUUCUGCCGUAACUCAUUCUGGCAAACGGACAUGGAUUCGAUCACCUCUGCUGUUCCCUUUGCAGGCCUGCUGGUCAUGGGUGAGAAGCGCCGUGCUCUUGCCCCGUGCCUCACCUGUGUUUUCAGCUGGACGUCGCCAGGGCCAGUUCGGCACUCUCAGAGCUAAACACGCGGAUUCCUUGAGGCCACCAUUUACAGUAAAGCUGCUAGAAAAGAGAAUUCCUGCAAACUCUUUUGUGAUCGGUUUCUUUCCCUUGUCAUAUGCCCCAUAGGUUGACGGGCUGUAUCCCAUUUUGAGAGCUCGGAUAAGCAGAAAGCAGUGCAAUUUAUAGUAGGAGGAUGAUUGUAUGUGUUCUGUGUAUAUACGUGUGCAUUUCAUUUGUUCCUUUACUUUAUUCAAUAUGUAUUUGUUGAUAGUCUACUAUGGGAUGGCUGGGGAUACUAAGUUAAUUACAAUCAUCAUAAUAGCUACCAUUUAUUGAGAGCUUACUUUUCUCAAUGUCGGUAUUAUGUUAAACAUUUUACAUACAUGCAGUUUAAUUCACUUAAUUCUUUAAAAAAAUCUUUAUAAAAUAGCCCCAUUUGACAUAUUAGUAAAAUGAGUUCCAGAAAAGUCAAGGGCACAUGGCUAGUUGAUGACAGAGCUAGGAUUCACAUCUAGAUCUGUCUGAUAUAAAACCUAUUUCCUCAUUCAUUUAGCUAAGUUGCCUUCCUAGAAAUGAAUACAAAUAUCAAAAGGCAUUUACUCAAUUUCUUGGAAUUCACAUUCUGGUUGGCAAGAAAGGCAUGUGAUGCAGAAUGGAAAAGGCUAUCACACAGCUAUGUACAUGAGUAACUAAUUCUGUUGGAGAGUGGGAGAAGGUGGGAAAGGGUUAGAGGAAGGCCACAGAAAGAAACUAGUACUUGAGUUAUGCCUCUGUGGAGUGGGAUACUCAAGAGGGAGAGAGAUUCAGUUGGGUGAGCUUCAUUGUGUAGGAAGAGACCUGGACUUACAGAGUGAUUCCGUGCACAGAAUAGUGGGAAUAGCAGUGGGAGAUUCUUUAAGAUUGCUUCUCUACUUAUCAUGUCCAGAUCUCUGUCCUCUUUGCUCUUAUGGCAUUGCCAUGUCUUACUAAAAGGGGACUCAGGGAGAAAAGAAGUUCAGCCUGGGUAAAUUAGAGGUGGUGAUCACUGUUAUGGUGACCACAGGAAAGAGAAACAAAGGUAACCUGUCUCUCUGCUCACUGCAAUGGUGGGACGCUUAUAGGAUGACCGUUUCACGGAUGAAGGUAUCAACCAGCCUGGAAGUGAACCUGAAAGCUUUGGCUGUGUUUUAGUACCAAGUGAAGGGAAAAAGGAGCGGAUAUACGUUGUUCUUUUCAAUUGUAUGUUUGACCCUGAAGGACAUGGCUGCCUACCUCUUUUGCCAGAGAUACGGGGACAGAUAAAGAACAGAAAUAGCAUCCACCAACAACCCUACGUGAAGAAGACUGUGUUAAAGGCAAGGGUGUAGCUGAACACUGGGAAAUAAAGUGAUCACCUAUUCGGUCCCAGCCAAGGGAGCAAUCCAGCUCCAAGAAAAGGAGGACAAUGGUGUUACAGCCAGGAUGCUUCGGAGCUUUGGGCUGUUCUGUUUAGAACAAAUAAAAAGCAAUCAACAUAGAUGGAGCCCACACUGUUGGCAACCACAAUUCUCUGGGGUUUCACUUUGAGAAGUUGAGACUUUGAAAUUUGGGGGGUUAAGAUUUCAGACUGGAAUGAUCCCCAGAUUGUUCAUUUGCAGUAAUAAUUCUGGGUUUUGUGCAUAUUUUUAAAAGGGUUACUGGGCUUUCCUAUAUUCAUUGCCAAGCCCUCCCAGCCUCCAAAUCUUCCUAUAAAAUGCUUCUUCUCUAGGUUUUAACCUUAUGCUGUGACUGAAUAUGAUUAUGGGAUAUUUACAUGCAUUCUUGUCUAUUGUAUCAAAAGAUCAUGAAAAAAAUGCCCAUCAUUAAAGCCCCAAAGUGAUUGGAUUGGCAUGGGGACCGGGGAUGGGGCUGGCAUGGGAGAGAGGAUCCGACUCUGAGAUUUCAUGAAAUCCAAAACAAUAGGACAGCUGCUUUUCCUUAAACAGAUUAUUAUUAUUAUUUCUACCUAGACAGCUUGAUAGCAGCCAUUAUCUUCUUUCUGGGUGUCUUAUCAAGUUCCGGCUGUGUGCAGCAUGGGUGAUAAGGAAUGAGAAAUGUCACCCAGGGGAUUGCCAAGGAUUAUUUCUAUGCACUGCUGUUCAGCAAUGGCCAGUCCCUUAGAACUGAAAGUAG